rnacentral:rRNA from 1 species
UGGGGAAUCUUCCGCAAUGGACGAAAGUCUGACGGAGCAACGCCGCGUGAGUGAUGACGGUCUUCGGAUUGUAAAGCUCUGUUAAUCGGGACGAAUGGUUUGUGUGCAAAUAGUGCAUAGACAUGACGGUACCGGAAUAGAAAGCCACGGCUAACUACGUGCCAGCAGCCGCGGUAAUACGUAGGUGGCAAGCGUUGUCCGGAAUUAUUGGGCGUAAAGCGCGCGCAGGCGGACUAGACAGUCAGUCUUAAAAGUUCGGGGCUUAACCCCGUGAUGGGAUUGAAACUACUAGUCUAGAGUAUCGGAGAGGAAAGUGGAAUUCCUAGUGUAGCGGUGAAAUGCGUAGAUAUUAGGAAGAACACCAGUGGCGAAGGCGACUUUCUGGACGAACACUGACGCUGAGGCGCGAAAGCCAGGGGAGCGAACGGG